AAUAAAUAAAUAAAUAAAUAACCAUGGUGAAUAAUUAGUACGAGCUAUACACAUUUCUAUAAAACGUGAUCAGUGUUUGUAAUGUAUAGUUAGGGGUGUCAUGCUUGUAUUCUUAAACUAAAAACACUUUUUGUACCCUUUCCAUUCCAGAAGCAAAGGAAUCUCCUCUGAGAUUCUGCUUUUGGUCAAUUGAAUUAAGGAAGUCAAUUUCAGAGAGAGGAAGAGGGCAAAGGAUUAAACAAUAGUAUUUGGCACUUGAAGCAUGAGAGAGAGACACAAGAUGCACACAGUACAAUCCUUCCAGCCUCCUUGGAAGUCUGGAGCUGCAAUGACAAGUGCACGUGACUCAGAGGCAAACGCUGGCCUCCCACUCACAAAUACUUGAAUAUCUCAUUCAGGUCAUGAAGCAGAAUCCAACUCAAAGUCCAAUGGCCCCAGAGGUGGUCGGUACUUCAUCCCAAAUAACCAAUCAAAUGCUAGAAGGAAAUGAUGGGGAGAUGUUUCUGUGUCAAUAUGAAGAAAUGAAAAUCUAUCUUAUGUCAUGAAUAUGGCCAUAUCUCAGACUGCAGAGUAACAAGUUCUCUGCCCUUUGUGUGUUUGUUUAGUAAAUAUUUUGGCAAAACUUGAUUCAGACUUUUAUCUGCAAUUAAGAGUUCAUUGGUCCCAGUUCUUCUUAAUACAAUUUUUUUUAUAUAUAUAUAUUUACCCCUCUUAUUAGUCUAAAAAAAAACACGCACACUCACCCCUGGACCUUAAAUCAAAAUUGACUCCCAUUGAAAACCAUUCAAAAUCCAUUAAUUUGAUGAGACAUAGUUCUAAGGGUGAAGAAAAAAAUGCAUUUAUCUCAUCUCAAAGUUUAAUGUAAUAGAUGUUUUUUUUAAAAAUUGAAAUUUGAUUAAUUAAAAUAAUUUGACCCCCUUUUUUAACUUAAUUUUAAACACAUUUUGGCAUUUCAUAAUCUUAUAACAGCUUCUGCAGAUAUAUCCUCCAGUCCAAUAGUAACCC
ensembl:lncRNA